rnacentral:lncRNA from 1 species
UAUAGUAUAGGAGUUGAACAAAUCAAAGACUCACUCGAUGGAAAGAUGAAAGACUUGAUUGGUGGAUAGAUUGAAGUCUUGACCUUUUGGGAACAAGAUGUUCACCUGGCAUGAAUUGGCAGUACAUAUAUAAGCAUCACACAAACAUCUAUAAAUCAGAUUAUGCAUGUAACUUGUUUUCAAUUACUUAUAAUUUAACAAGUUAAUAGAGAAGUUGCAGGAGGAACUGAAGAAAAUUUUGGAUUUGUGUAGUACUAAUCUAGUAAAAGCAUAGAAUCAGGAAAAUAAAUGCAUGUCCUUGUAAGAUUUAUGCCAGUAAUAUCUAUAGUGCAUAAUAUCACCAUGACUAUCCAUGGGAUUUUUAUAGAAGCAUAGGAUCAGCCUUUCUGACAAAAUUAGAAUAGUAGCACUUUUCAUGAAAGCACUACUGAUUAUCAAUGGCCUUUUUAUUUUCUAUCCUAGCAAAAAAGUUUGGUAGGUGUUUGCAAAGGAUAAACAUUUAUAAUGAUUUUCUAUUUCAAGUGUUAUGUGUGAACCAUAUAAAUUACUAUAUUCCAUGGAUCAUUGAUACACAACAAGCAUAUGACCUAAUAACUUCGAGUGAAAUCACAUACAACAAGCAUAUAGAUAACACAUACUCCACAAUUGAACUGUUAUACUCUACUAUAGAUCUACAAUAAAACAAGCCUAUGCUCUAAUCUCACUACAAACUCUCGAAACAAUUCAAACUAAUGCAACUACGACAUCAAUCUAUAAUUACACAAUAUGUACUGUACAUUGAUAUCCCACACCAUAC